UACGUAGGGCGCAAGCGUUGUCCGGAAUUAUUGGGCGUAAAGAGCUCGUAGGCGGUUUGUCGCGUCUGUCGUGAAAGCUUGGGGCUUAACCCCAAGUCUGCGGUGGAUACGGGCAGACUAGAGGCAGGUAGGGGAGAACGGAAUUCCCGGUGUAGCGGUGAAAUGCGCAGAUAUCGGGAGGAACACCGGUGGCGAAGGCGGUUCUCUGGGCCUGUACUGACGCUGAGGAGCGAAAGCGUGGGGAUCGAACAGG
rnacentral:rRNA from 1 species